GAUGAAGAACGUAGCGAAAUGCGAUAAGUAAUGUGAAUUGCAGAAUUCCGUGAAUCAUCGAAUCUUUGAACGCACAUUGCGCCCCCUGGCAUUCCGGGGGGCAUGCCUGUCCGAGCGUCAUUUCUGCCCUCAAGCACGGCUUGUGUGUUGGGUGUGGUCCCCCCGGGGACCUGCCCGAAAGGCAGCGGCGACGUCCGUCUGGUCCUCGAGCGUAUGGGGCUCUGUCACUCGCUCGGGAAGGACCUGCGGGGGUUGGUCACCACUAUAUUUUACCACGGUUGACCUCGGAUCAGGUAGGAGUUACCCGCUGAACUUAAGCAUAUCUAAGCGGAGGA
rnacentral:misc_RNA from 1 species